UACGGGGGGGGCAAGCGUUGUUCGGAAUUACUGGGCGUAAAGGGUGCGUAGGCGGUCUGUUAAGUCGGAUGUGAAAGCUCGGAGCUCAACUCCGAAAUGGCAUUGGAAACUACCUUGCUCGAGGGUUGGAGGGGGGACUGGAAUACUUGGUGUAGCAGUGAAAUGCGUAGAUAUCAAGUGGAACACCAGUGGCGAAGGCGAGUCCCUGGACAACUCCUGACACUGAGGCACGAAAGCUAGGGGAGCAAACAGG
rnacentral:rRNA from 1 species